rnacentral:sRNA from 1 species
GCUGAGCAUGGUGGCUCGUGCCUGUAAUACCAGCAACCCAGGAAGCUGAGGCAGGAGGAUCACAAGUUCAAGGCCAGUUUCAGCAACUUAGUGAGACCCUGUCUCAA